CAGCAGCCGCGGUAAUACCGGCGGCCCGAGUGGCGGUCACUAUUAUUGGGCUUAAAGCGUCCGUAGCCGGGUUGGGAAGUCCUCCGGGAAAUCUGGCCGCUUAACGGUCAGAAUGCCGGAGGAUACUCCCAGCCUAGGGAGCGGGAGAGGCCGAGGGUAUUCCCGGAGUAGGGGUGAAAUCCUAUAAUCCCGGGAGGACCACCUGUGGCGAAGGCGCUCGGCUGGGACGCGUCCGACGGUGAGGGACGAAGGCCAGGGGAGCAAACCGGAUUAGAUACCCGGGUAGUCCUGGCUGUAAACGAUGCGGACUUUGUGUCGGACAAGCUAUGAGCUUGUCCGGUGCCGGAGGGAAACCGUUAAGUCCGCCGCCUGGGGAGUACGGCCGCAAGGCUGAAACUUAAAGGAAUUGGCGGG
rnacentral:rRNA from 1 species